rnacentral:lncRNA from 1 species
UCCCAACACUUCACUAUAUCAUUGAGCCAAAACAGCAUUUACAAAACUCUUUGUAAACCUAAGGAUUACCUCUAAUCCCGUUGUGGCAACCAGCUCCUAAACAACUUCAAGUUAACUCUAACUUGAAUACAAUACUCAGAGUACCUAGUACAAUUGCUUCUAAAUAAAGCUGAAAGGUACAAUUUGAAAACACAUACUAUAAUGAAACUAGAAUAAAAGACAGACACUUGGAACUGGUUCUUCUAUCUGGUUCAUGUAGCUUCAGGUUCGUACACUUGAAUCACACAAAAAUUAUUUGCAAAAUGUCAUUUUAUUUAGCUCUCAAAUCACGUUUAACUUCAGUGUUUGUGCAUCCUAUAAAAUGAGAACAACCUGCAAUUUAUAGAGUUAGUAGAAUAGGAAAUAACUAGAGUUCUAAUGCUAUACUCUUCCUUGGUGGAAGAGUUCUAGUUAUCUUCAACUUCUAACUCCUCCCUUAUCUAGGAUAAAGUUCUCUCGAGUAAGGAGUCCUUCUCAUUAUCAAUUAUGCAACAUUUUCGUUCAGGAGAUGUCAGAUAUAAUUACUUAAGCUUAUCUCCUUCAUGUGCAUGCCUUGUGCCCGAAUUCUGCCCGUGUCUGUGUACACUGUGUAUGGACCUGGUUCAUGCUUGAGUUCUUUUGUCAAUCAUCAAAACAAACUUCACUUGGGCCAACAAAUUUCCCUUUUUUGAUGAUGACAAACUGUGUGCUUUUCAUAAACAUAAGCCAUGUUUCAACUUAGCUCAACAUCAACGCAAAUAUGCAAUGUUGGAACACUUUCCAUUUUAAAGUUAUACAUCAUCAAGGACCAUGUUCAUUAGGUUAUAAACAUCACAAUCCAAAGUAAAAUACACAAACUAUCUUCCCCCCAUUUGGCAUCAUCAAAAAGUUGUAUAAUUAUGUUAGAUAACCAGAUUUUACUAGAUAUUGCUCAUGGCCACUGAGGCUACUUCAAAUGCAAUCAUGGAGUCAAUCAUCAUAUAUCAAUCUAAUGAUAUUAGUUAUCUAAGAAGCAUCAACAAAUAAUUAGAGCACAAAAAUAAUUGAUUAACAUUGAUACUAGUCAUCCACAAAGCAUAAAGAAAAAUAAAGAUACUUGAUCAUGAGCAAAAAGAACAAAACAAAAUCCCAUCCGGGUCACUGGUUUGUCUAACUAGGCUAGGAAGGUUUCAAGGUUGGGAAGGAUCAGGUUCUUGGUUUCUGGCGUGAAGUAGUUCCAGCGUAUCAUGAAGAAUGCCAUCAUUCUUCUCCUUCUCUUUUGCAAGCUUAUCCCCGAGAGCAUCCUUCUCAGUUUCUAAUUCAGCUAGCCUCUUCUUCAGCCUCUCAAUCUCAGCAUCCUUGGCCCCAUUCUCUUGCACCAAAGCACGCACUUUUCUGUUCACAGGUACCUUCUUGGAUGAACCAGGUUCUUUGGGAGUGGUGUGGACUUCAUAGUCACAUGCAGUCAAAGUGUUUGCCCCAAAGUGAUCCAUGCUUGUACCAACUUCCCAUUUCUUGAUGGGUUCCUUGAAGUGUGCAAGUACAGCAGUGAGAAUGAGACCAUAGGGUAUGGCAUGAGUUUUGGUGCCAGUCAGAUCUCUAUCAAGAAGUUGGAUGAUAAACCAAGGCGAAUUGAUUUGCCUUCUACUGUCCAAACAUUCCAUAAGGACCAGGUCCAUGAAUAUGGUAAUGUGCCUUCUCUCCUGCUUGGGCAGCACAACCUUGUUAAUAAAUUCAAACAGCGCUUUGUGGGGUGGCUUCAUCUCACUUUUGUAUAUAGCCUUGGGCUGAAACUCUUCUUCAUUAUCACCAAACUUCCUUAUAAUGGCAAGUGAUGUGGGAAGUUUUCUAGGCUUGGCCAUUUUAAAUUUUUGUAGUCAUUGUACCCUGCAGCAAGUACUCCGGAAUUUCUCCCAACUCUUUGUCAUCAAAGCUCACAGUCACCCCCUUUACCACACUGUGACUCUGCCAUUUUGAUCUCACAAUUUGCCAUGAACUCCACAAUCUCAGUUCUGGCAAGCUUUCCAUCCAUCUGAAGGACCAUGUCCUUCCAACCCUGUAGUUGUAGUUUUUCCAACAGCAUCAUCAUGUAUUUCUCCUCCAAGUCCCUAAGAAGUCUACCUUUCAAGAUGGCUCUUUUCCCAAACUUAAUCAUCAUGUCAUUCUCUGCGUCAGAUUCUUCUUCUUAUUCACUCUCUUCUUCCUUCACUACUUUCACUUUUCUAGACUUCAAGGCAGACCUGGUUUUUUUUGCCAAGGUAGAAGGUUCUGCUGACUUUGAUUUCGAAGGAGACUUCUUUUUGGAAGUCUUGAUUUACUCUGCUUUUGGAGUCACAACCUCCACCUCUUCUGCCUCCUCUUUAUCACAAAGGACCAGGUCCAUCUCCUCAAUUUCAACUGCCUCAACAUGCUUAACAACCUUCUUUUUUCCCUUUGCAACACCUAUUCUUUUACUUUCUUUCAAGGCCUUCUCAAGUUCAGCCUCACUCUGCUUCUUCUUACUCCUUGUAGCUCUUCCUCUUGUGGGAAGAGUCUCUACAGAUAUAGAAGAGGUAGUCUUUCUCUUCUUAUUUUCCCUAGCAAUUUCAGGGAUUUUAACUCCUGAACUCUUCUUCCUUUUUGGGUUAUAGUUGUUAGACAUGCGUUUCGGUAGAUCUCGAGGGGUUCCUGUCCUGAUGGAACAAGUUCAUGAACAUUCUUCUCAUGUCUAACCAACCCCUCAGCAGCUUUUCCAGACCCACAUCCCCCUUUUUCUCUUACACUUUCUUCUUCUCCAGUAGAUUCCUCACUCCGUACUACCAUUGCUCCUGUUUCUUCAGUCAAACCAACAGGAGUGGGUGAAGAUUCAACCACUUCUUUUCCCAUUACCCUCACAUUACCUUGAAGACCCUCACUCUCCUUUUCUUUUCUCUUUUUAUUUUUACUACCAAUGUCCCCAAACUCAGUGGUCUCAACCCCAGCCACAUUUCCUACCAAAACAAAUCUAUUUUCUAGAUUUGCAGCAACCUCAGAUAUUAUUUCACAUGUAAUUUUAGGGAUAGAUGUUACCUGCUCUAUUUCAGAAGAAACAGUUUUCUCCUCCUCAGUAGCAUUCUUGAAUGAUUCUUCAGAUUUUUGGGGUUCUUGGGCCUGGCUUGCUUUCAAUUUUUCAUCUAACUUCUUGGAUAAUUCACUCCCUACCACAGUCUUGCGAGCAAGUAUCUUGAAUCUUCCUUUCUUAUAGAGAGGUAUGGUUGAGGGUGUGGUUGAAAGUGUGGGUGUGAAUUCUUGGGGUAGUGAUGAGGGAUUUCCAGAUACGUUAGCCAUUGAUGAUUAGAGGAUGAGAGAAGAUGAGUAUAUAUGUGUUUAGAAGAUGAGAGAAGAUAGAGAGAAUUGUAUGGCGGCUGGAAAUUUAGAAGUGAAGAAACAACUAAUGCCUAAGCAAUAUAAAGCGGAAGAGUUUAAUUGGGUAACAACAGCUUUUUUAGAAGCUCAGAAGUCUAAUCAAACUGGGAGUCAGUUUGAAAAGACGUUGAAGACUCUCCCUAGAAUCUAGGCACUUAUUGCGUUUUGGGACUCUAUUUGGAUGAAACUAGUUCAUUUCGUAACGGAUAAGCUCAAAGAGGUUAGGAUUAAAUGGGACUCUCCUUUUGAUCAUAAUACAAAUAUAAUUAUUUCAAAAUAUGCAGAGUGGAGAGUACGUACCAUGUAAUCUUAAUGAAUCAAAUUCUUCACUGAGAAAUCUCUUGUGUAAGUCUGAAUUUUUCAAGAAAAUAAAGAUAAUAUCAUUAGAGAUUAAUGAGACAUUUUAGCACAUGGCACAAGAGUAUACAAGAGAAAGUAUGAGACUGAGCAAAAUCUAAUCUAAUUAUAUACAAAAAUUCACAAAUUUCCUAAUUAAAUUUUUUGAGUUAGAACUGGUCCCUUUUAAGUGAUCUUAAUCAUCCAUAAUUCUAACUUGUUCCUUUCAAAGUGAUCUCUACUUAGAGAUUUUGUGAAGAUGUCAACUAUUUGCUUGUCAGUAGCAUAAAAUUCCACAAUGAUCAAACCCUUUUCAUAGUUGUCCCUCAAAAAGUGAUGCCUAACAUCUAUGUGCUUAGUUCUUUUGUGAUGAACCGGGUUCUUGGUCAUACUAAUUACAUUAGUGUUAUCACAAAAGAUGGAAAUACAACCUACAUCAAUUUCAAAGUCCAUUAAUUGUUGUUUGAUCCACAACAAUUGAGCACAACAUGAGGCAGCAGCAACAUACUCAGCUUCGGCAGUAAAUAAUCCCACAGAAUUUUGCUUUUUGGUGGCCCAAGACACAAGACAUGAGCCAAGAAAGUGUGUCAUACCUGAGGUGCUCUUUUUAUCCACAAAAAAAUUGCAUAAUCAGUAUCAGCAUAUCCCACUAAGUUAAAAUUACUACCUUUUGGAUACCAUAGACAAAGAUCAGUGGUGCCUUUUAGGUAUCUCAAGAUCCUCUUGACAGCAGUCAAGUGAGACUCCUUUGGAUUUGCCUGAAAUCUAGCACAAAGGCCUACACUGAAAACAAUGUCAGGUCUGUUAGUAGUGAGAUAUAACAAAGAGCCAAUCACUCCCAUAUACAACUUCUGAUCAACAUAUGAACCAGGUUCAUCUACAUCCAAUUUUGUGGUUGUUGCUAUAGGAGUGUCAAUUUCUUUGAAAUCUUCCAUUUUAAACUUUUUAAGCAACUCUUUUACAUACUUUUGUUGAUGGAUCAUAGUUCUAUUGAAUUUUAUUUAAUUUGUAAGCCUAAAAGAAAUUAAGAUCACCCAUCAUACUCAUUUCAAAUUCACUUCCCAUUAGUUUAGUAAAUUCUUUACUUAACUUAUUAGUAGUUGCUCCAAAGAUUAUAUUAUUAACAUAUAUCUGAACUACCAAGAAAUCUUUACCUUUUUUCUUUCAAGAAUAAAUUAUUGUCAAUUUUACCUCUCUUGUAGCCUUGCUCAAGCAAGAAUUUUGAUAAUCUUUCAUACCAUGCUCUUGGAGCCUGCUUGAGCCCACAAAGUACCUUGUCAAGCUUGUACACAUGAUCUGGACAUUCCUUGCUUUCAAAGUCCGGAGAUUGCUUGACAAACACUUCUUCCUUUAGAUAGACAUUGAGGAAGGCACUCUUGACAUCCAUCUGAUGGAGAGUGAAUUUCAUGUAAGCAGCAAAGGCUAUAAGGAAUCUAAUUACUUCCAAUCUUACAACUGGAGCAAAGGUCUCAUUAUAGUAUAUGCCCUCCUCUUGACUAUAUCCUUGAACCACUGUCACACCCUUUUUCUAUCCCACAAAAGAUAAGUAUCAUGGAUUGUUGUGGGUUAAAAAGUUUUUUCAAUUAAAGUGACAGUUUUGAAGUAGGGAUUAUUUUAUUAUUCAGAGUCGCCACUUGGAAUUAAUUUUUGGGUGUUCCAAGUCACCUUUUAUUUGAAUCCCUAUUCAAAGAAAGAUUUGACUCUUUUCAUGUUGGUCUGCAAAAACAAAGUCCGGGUAAGGAAUUCUGUUGACCGGGGAGAAGGUGUAAGGCAUUCUCUCAAUCCCGUAGUUCUAGCAUGGUCGCUUUAUUGACUAAAACUUGGCUUGAAUUAAUUUUGGAUAAAAUAUAAUUUAUUUGAUUUUAAAGCUUUUCCUACGCCCGCUUUUAUUUAUUAAAAAAAUAUUUAAAGAAAAGAUUUGAAUAAUAUUAAAUUAUCCUAACCGCACCACGCAAGCGAAUGCGCGAUCGAGACGAAUUUUAUUAUUUAUUUUUUCUUCAUAAUUGCGCUACGCUAGCGAAUCCGCAAUUAUGGAGAUUAACUAAAUAAAAAUUAAUUAAAGCUAACAAAUAUGGUAUAAAAUUAAUGAAUUAAUUUAUUGAAAAGUUAAACAUCACGCUACGCAAGCGAAUCUGUGAAUGAAGAAGUUAAAGUGCGCCUAUUAGUUGCUUAGCGUUUAUGAAUGAAUUGUUUUCCUACGUUUGUUUGAAAUUGUUGUAGGGCUUAAUGUUAUAUGGACAGAAUAUCAUAAAGAUAUAGAGCUUUGGCUAAAUUGUUUAUAAAUUUACACUAAUAUUUGAUAAUUACCAACAAUCAUCCUACUAUUUAUAGAAAACUAGAAAUAUAUUCACUAACUGGGACCAAUUUGGGUACAAUCCAAGUGACUUACAUAUGAGGCAAACGAAAGAUUAAACAAGUUUUCAUAAUUAAAUAAAGAUUAUCCAUUACGUGGCCAUAAGUGGGAAUAAAGCCUUAAAUUAAAUGUUAAUCCAAAAUUAAGAAAAGAAAAACAAAAUACUCUUGACAAACACAUAAUGAAAACGGUCAGAAAAAUCAAAACAAGCAGACACCUUUUUGAUAUAACCACAUUUAAUUAGUAUUAAUGCCUUAGAGAAAGAAAUAUUUCAGUAAUAAGAUUAAAGAAAAUAGUAUUAAUAAAGUAGCAAGCAUACCAAACAAUGAUUACAUGACUUGAAAGUCGGAUCCAUACCUUGACAGCAAUGGAAACAAACUUAGAAGAGCCAAAUGAAGGCAUUAGUUGCAUACAGUGAGAUCAAGUUUCAGUUACGAAAAUGGAGAACAACAAAACGUUUCAACUGAGAUCGCUAACCAGGGCUCGGACAGCUACACCAACGAAGACUCGAACACAACCUCAAACUCCGUCCUCUUCUAAUUCAACAAAAAUGAAGACAAAAUUAUAGGCGUUGAAGAUGAAGAUGGUUUUUCAGAUCUGUUCCCAUCUCUCUCUAUUCCUAUCUCUCAUGGAUUUUAUUUUCUUUUUAACUCUUUUCCGUUUUCUAUUUCUCUUCCCCAGCUCUGUUAUUUUUCUUCCCCCUUUCGUGUAUGUUUGUGAGUGUAUGUGAGUAAGGUCAAAAUCUGGGGGUGGAGGAGGAAGAAGGUGAGAUAGGCGACUAGGUUGAAGAAGGAGAGGAAGAAGGUUGCUCCUCUCUUUUUUUUGGUGUAGAAGAGAGGUCCGUUUAUGGAGGAAGUUUGGUGUGUUUUAAUGGCUGUAGGGUAUAGGGUUUGUCUU